AAAAAUUUAGUUUAAAAAAAACAUUAAUUUGUCAAAUUAAAUAUGCUUAAUAG
rnacentral:tRNA from 1 species